GCCCGCCACUCAUCUACCGCCUGUAAACAAUAAAAAAAUAAUACAAUAAUAGAGAUAUCAAAAUAAUACAAAGAAAUAUAACCUUUACAUAAAAAAAAAUUUCAAAGCCGAACAAUCAAGCACAUGCAAUCGAAUCAAGUUAGAUGAGCAUCAAUCAAAUUCUUCCAAUAGACAAAUCAAUUUGUUUUCUAGUUUAACAUAUAUCUCAAUAUUUAUAGAAGUAUUUCCUUAAUAGAGUCCUAUUUUAGGAGUAUUUUUCUAAUUGAAUAGUACAAAGAAAAAUAUUAAUUAAUUCUCCUAUCAUAUAUUUUAAAAGUCCCAUAUAUUUUAGAAAGUCUAGUAGAAAGAAAAAUAUUAAUUAGUUCUGCUACUAUAUAUUUUAAGAGUCCCAUAUAUUUUAAAAAGUCUAGUUAAUAUAAUAAAAAAUAAUUAAAUAAUAAAUUACAAAAAAAUAAAAAAUAAUUUUGUCUGAAGAAAAAUCUUUUAAUAAAGGCUAAAAGUUCAAAUCACAUUUCUAGGAAUUUUCACACUUUUAAUAUAUUAUAAAUAUAGAUUUUAGAUUGCAAUCAACCAACAAGUCACAUUUUAUUGAAGAAAACAAAAAUAAAUAAGAGCACAAGCAAUGGAAUGACAAUAAAUUCAAAAAGAAAAAUACUUAAAAUAAAUAGCUCGAAAGAUGGGCUUAAGUCCGAAACAAAAAAAAAUCAUAAAAAAUAAAAGGACCUUUCAGAAGCUCUGUUGGAAUUAGGAAGGUAAACAUCUCUUCACUUCUCAAUCUUCCAUAGAAGCACUGAUAAUUUUUCUUUAGAUUGUUUCAGCGCCCUUCAUUUUUUGCUUUCGUUUUACGUUUUCGUUCUUCUUUCAGAUACAUGUAUCCUUUACUUUGAUAUUUUUUUUCCUCUUUCUUGUAGCUUUAGCCUCAAAACACAGAUAGUGUGCUCUUUUUUUAAUUCCCCCCACCCCCCCACCCCCUCCCUCCAUCAGAUCCAAGACAACCAGCUCGACAAUAGCUUUCAAUUUUCAAUUGCAGCUAGAUCUAUUCCAGAUCUGGUGAUCCUUGCCUCUGACACGAGCUGAGGGGGAGAUUUUAUGAAAAUUUUUAUUGAGGAAUGAGUUGCGUCGCUGCAUUUGAG
rnacentral:lncRNA from 1 species